GGGGGUUUAGCUAAGUGGUAGAGCACUUGCCUAGCAAGCACAAGGCCCUGGGUUCGUUCCCCAGCUCCG
rnacentral:tRNA from 1 species